UAUGGCCAUAUCACACUGAAACACCAGGUCUCGUAUGAUCACUGAAGUUAAGCAACAUCAGGCCUGGUCAGUACCUAGAUAUGUGAAUGCUUGGGAAUACCAGGUGCUGGA